rnacentral:rRNA from 1 species
UACGUAGGUGGCAAGCGUUGUCCGGAUUUAUUGGGUUUAAAGGGUGCGUAGGCGGCCCUGUAAGUCAGUGCUGAAAUAUCCCGGCUUAACCGGGAGGGUGGCAUUGAUACUGCAGGGCUUGAGUAAAGUUGAGGUAGGCGGAAUUGACGGUGUAGCGGUGAAAUGCUUAGAUAUCGUCAAGAACACCGAUAGUGUAGACAGCUUACUAAGCUUUAACUGACGCUGAGGCACGAAAGUGUGGGGAUCAAACAGG